rnacentral:rRNA from 1 species
AGCUCCAAGAGCGUAUAUUAAAGUUGUUGCAGUUAAAAAGCUCGUAGUUGGAUUUCUGGUAUAGUGCGCCUGGCCCGCUGCGGUUACGCAUGUGAGUGCCGGUGCGCGCUUGCCAUCCUUCUAGAAAACGUUUCUACCCUUCGCUGGGCCGGACUCGCGAUCUAGAUCUUUUACUUUGAAAAAAUUAGAGUGUUUAAAGCAGGCUUUUGCUAUGAAUACAUUAGCAUGGAAUAAUAAUCUAGGACUUCGGUUCUAUUUUGUUGGUUUCUAGUACUGAAGUAAUGAUUGAUAGGGAUAGUUGGGGGUGCUAGUAUUGGCCGGCCAGAGGUGAAAUUCUUGGAUUCGGUCAAGACUAACUUAUGCGAAAGCAUUCACCAAGGAUGUCUUCA